GUGCCAAGCGCUCUUGGCAACAGAUGAAGUAAUAACGCGUCCCCUUUAAUUUGCCCACGCUGUACAUCGGGAAGGAGUGGUACAGCGCAGAGGGAUCGGCACUCUCUGAAGUCCCUUUGUAUGCGCGGCAUUGCCUAACUGCAGCCUAGAGCGUUGAUUGUAAUAGACAUAUCGUGUGAAAUUAUCAGCAAAUGAAAGGAGAAAAACAGAGGCUAUUAUAUGCUGCCGCCUUGUUUAAAAAAAAAAAAAACCGGGUGAACAAAGAGCUGAAAUUGUACAAGGACUACCUUAGAUGCUGUUGCAGACAACGUUAUUAGUAGUGACACUGGGGGCGUCAGAUUUAGCUUAUCCCAGCAUAUCCAGAUGACGAUUAUAGGGGGGCUCUUGGAGAUAUUAAAAUACAGCUUGACAAGCUCAACACUUCGUGCUCCCGAUUACUCCGCACUCUGCUUCCCCUGAAGCAACCAAAUUCUUGUGGCUGGAGACGCAAAAAGAGCAGGACUCUUCCGCAUCUUCCUGUGUGCGGUUCCUUCCAUGCCCAGCGCUCUGUUGUCGGAGCCCCCAGUUGCUGCAGAGCAGCUCUACGAUGAAUAAAUACAAGAAGUACCUUUGACGGACGCCUAGACAUGCCUGGGGAAAGGAAAACAACACCGUUAUGACACAAAGUGACAUCUACAGAAGCGUGUAAAUGUGUCAAAGACCUGUAAUUGCAAUCGUGGCCGUUGACAAAGGUGUUAUUCAUAGAUAACGUCUGGUGACCUGGAGUCUGAACGUGUGAACCGUGCUUCUCUCCUUCUCCUUGGCCGCAUAUCACAGAGGUGCCACCCUCACCCACCCCCCC
ensembl:lncRNA